GACGAACGCUGGCGGCGUGCCUAAUACAUGCAAGUAGAACGCACAGUUUAUACCGUAGCUUGCUACACCAUAGACUGUGAGUUGCGAACGGGUGAGUAACGCGUAGGUAACCUGCCUGGUAGCGGGGGAUAACUAUUGGAAACGAUAGCUAAUACCGCAUAAUAUUAAUUAUUGCAUGAUAAUUGAUUGAAAGGUGCAAAUGCAUCACUACCAGAUGGACCUGCGUUGUAUUAGCUAGUAGGUGAGGUAACGGCUCACCUAGGCGACGAUACAUAGCCGACCUGAGAGGGUGAUCGGCCACACUGGGACUGAGACACGGCCCAGACUCCUACGGGAGGCAGCAGUAGGGAAUCUUCGGCAAUGGACGAAAGUCUGACCGAGCAACGCCGCGUGAGUGAAGAAGGUUUUCGGAUCGUAAAGCUCUGUUGUAAGAGAAGAACGGGUGUGAGAGUGCAAAGUUCACCCUGUCACGGCGUCCUACCACAACGGGACGGCGAACUACUUGCUCGCAGUCGCCGCCCACUAAGUCCCUUCACGCCACCAUGAUGACUGUGGUA
rnacentral:rRNA from 1 species